rnacentral:rRNA from 1 species
UACGUAGGGACCGAGCGUUGUCCGGAAUCAUUGGGCGUAAAGAGCGUGUAGGCGGCCCUUUAAGUCCUGCGUGAAAUCCUGCGGCUCAACCGCAGACGGUCGUGGGAAACUGGAGGGCUAGAGUGCGGGAGAGGAGAGUGGAAUUCCCGGUGUAGCGGUGAAAUGCGCAGAUAUCAGGAAGAACACCUAUGGCGAAGGCAGCUCUCUGGGACGGUACUGACGCUGAGACGCGAAAGCGUGGGGAGCGAACAGG